rnacentral:lncRNA from 1 species
CUCGCAGAUGGAAUUCAAAUACCUGUCGUGUUCAAGACAGCCCCAUGGGGAUUAUAGGUGGAUGUCAGAACUAUACCCAGAUUCAGACAUGUGACACUUUCGGGCUGAAGCACUUAAGAGCCAGUGUGCCCUGUCCAUUUCUGUCUUCUGUCCUGUGGAUUUGGAAGCAUGUGUUGACAGAACAAUGUCUUAUGGUGAAGGAAGCCUAAACCCCUGAGUCAUUGGAUGGAGGAGAGCCCAUGUUGACCCAUAAAGGACUUCAUGGUCUCGCUCUGUCACCCAGGCUGGAGUGCAGGCGUGCUAUCUUGGCUCACUGCAACUUCUGCUUCCCGAGUUCAAGAGAUCCUCAUACCUCAGCCUCCUGAGUAGCCGGGACUACAGGCAUGCGCCACCACACCCAGAUAUGACUUAGAAUAUGAUUGAAUAUGAAUACAUGAUUGAAGAUAUAUUAUAAAAUUGAGAUACUUGUUGCAACACAACAGGGAAAUGAAUACAGAAGGGCUCAAAGUAUUUUAUAGAGGGUAUACGAGCAAUUUGACGUCGCAGAAAACCUGUCAGAAAGAAGCACCAUGGAAUAGAGGAAAGAGGCCCGGAAUCCAGCCCCGGGAACUGUGACAGCCUCUGGGGUGGGGACUCUCGUGGAAAGGCUAGAUGAUGGAGUCACGUGCUCCCUUCCCGUUCACUAGCUGCUGAUUGGCCAACUGCUCCUGCCAGCUGUCCCUGCACUCCAGCUUCCUACCAUAUGCUCCAGAAUAACGUCUGGAAAGUGAGCCCCAUCCAUCAAGUUUGUCACACCUUGCACUCAAUCUGCUACCUUCUCUACAGUAUUUGUCCACGUCUCUGCCCUGCUUCAAAUCCUUCAGAGGCUCCCCAUCACCCACAGGGAUGAUCUUUCUGAAAUGGAUUUGGCCAUGCCAGUCUCCUGCCUGAAACAGCCCUCCUGGCUCCUUGUCACUCAAAGGAAAAGGCAAACUCCUCAAGACUGCACAUAAUGCCCACCUUCCCAACCAGCCUCUCCUACUGCCACUCUCUCUCCUACACCCUACCUUCCAAACCCUACUUGGGGUUCACCCUCACAUGCUGGAGUUUUCCCAUCUCUGAGACUUCAUUCAGGCAGUUCCUUCUGGCUUCGGAGGCUUCUUUGUUCCUAAAGUUCAUACUUUAAGACCUAGCUGAAAUAUCAAGGCUUCCUGGACUCUGCAGGUGACACGAGCCACUGUGCUCCUGGAUGCUUCAGAACCUGUGCAGAUCUCUGUCUUCACUCCUACUAUGGCAUCUCCUAGCAUGUUCUACACUGAGCUCCACUGGGCCUUGCAUGUCAGUAUCCCGAAUUCUGAAUGAAGCUUGGAACAUGGGAGGUGCAUCCACUAACAACAUGAAGAAUGAAGACAUGUGUGAGUAAAUGAACAGUUCUCUUCUUAGUGGAAGUUGGCAAAUAGUUGUGAACUUUAAUAUGAUUCUGACAUAUUAAUAUCUUUAUUUUUAGAUAACAGAGUAGAUGGAAACCAUAUGGUAAAACCUAAAGCAAAAUCCACCCUCUAACCUUUCUAUUGACUACCUUUGACAAAAGUAUGUCAAAAGCAAUACAUCUUACUAGUGGAGCGAAGACACUGCAUGCUGACAAAGGUGAUCUCAGAUGUGAGGUCGAUGGUGCGCCAUGCAAUCAGCUUGCUGAGUGAGCCUACUUAUGCCCCAUCCCGGGGGCCUAGGGUAAGAAAAGUGCCAAGCGAAGCUGAGGAUCAGACUAAAGCUGGAAGGUGAGUCAAAGCUUGAGUCCCUCAGCAUUACCCUGCCCAGGCAGCAACUUCAGCCUCAUGGUCUUUUAGCCCUAAAACUUAGGACUAGCUCAGUGGGAGUUUUACAUUCCUUGGCUUGACAAAUGAAAAAGGUAUUGGUAGUCAGAGGGGAAAAAGGCUAAAAUAACUCAAAGUUCUAUCUGAAUCCAUGUGGAGGGUCAGGAAAAAUGCAUGGGUUUGGGGAGCCAGAAAGACCCCAGAAAUCCUCCUAACUUCCGAUAUGAACUUAGGCGAGCAUCUCACCUAUCUGCACCCCAGUUCCUUCAUUUGUAAAGUGGAGGGAAUAACAUCUACCUCAUGGGACUGUGACAAGUUACAAGUGAGCUCGUAUAACAUGAAGUAUCUUAAAUGCUGGCAGCCUUCUUUUUCUUUAUAUUCAAACAAAAGGAAAAACAAAGCUUUCUGGCCACUUUGAGUCUGAAAGUCUGGCUGUUAGGGUAGAAAAGUCUUCUAAACACUGAAUGGAUUUGAUGAUAAUCCCUUAGGGAUUGACACUGCCGAAUGCCCUUGUUCCUGGGGUCUUGGGUGCUGAAAUCCGCUUGGUGCAUACAGAGAUGCACCACCUGAGUUUCGAGGCAACUGUGCAUGUUCUGAAGAACAUUCUAUUUCCCCGUCAAUAAUAACAACAAUGAUGGGCAUCAAUGAUCUGUUUUGCACAUGUACAUCAUCUUUUUUGGCCUUGUUAUAUAACAGAUGAUGACGCUGAAAUUGCUGACACUAAUUAUCUACCAUAAGCAGGAAGGCCUUUUCUGAGUAAGCUCCUGGUUACUGGGAGCAGGUUGCAUCUAGGACUGAUAGUCUCUGGGGAUCCUAAUGAAGUCAGCGUAUUUUAGGGAUUUCUGUCUUCUCCUUUGUUAGAUGGGAAUAGAGACAGCCUGAGGGAGAGAUGCUGCUGGAAGAUCUUAUUUGGGGAUUGGUUCCAUGCUGUAGCUGGGUGACUUUGGGCAAGUUAGAUGGUCUUAAAAUGUCAGAGCUGGAAGGACCUGUGGGAACUGUUUUACAGAAAAGGAAACCAAAGGUCAGAAAUGAAACCAUCUGCCUCAUAUCACACAGCUAAAUUGAUGUGAUGCUAUUAAAACCCAGGUGUCCUUCCUGAUUCUGUUUGAGUGUGUUUGAAUUACUUAAUCUGGGUCUAGAUUCAAAUCCUGGUGCUAUUACAUGUGAAUCUCAGGAUUUUAGCAAGUUGUUAAACUCUCUACCUUGUCUGCAAUAUUUGUGAAAUGGGAAUAAUAAAAAUACCUGAGUGUUCCUGUGAGGAUUAAAUUAGGUGAUGCUAGUAAUUUUAAAAUAUAUCUUAUUAUUAUUAGUAAGUGAAAGGUAUCAUGAUUACCUUCUGCAGUGGUUCUAGAAACAGUGAGCCUGAUCUAAUUCUGUUAGCCAAUUCUGGUAGCUGCCUGUGUUUGUAAAUAAAGUCUUAUUAGAACACAGCUACAUUCAUUCAUUUAUGUAUCAUCUUUUGCUGCUUUCCUGUGACAAUGGUAGAGUAGCUGUAAUAGAGACAGUAUGGCCCACAAGGCACACAUAUUUACAGAGAGUUUGGCAACUUCUGGUUAGAUGAUCUGUGUAUUCUACUUGCACUCACUACUCCAAUGGCUGAAACCCAUAUGGAAAUCUCCAUGUCUAGCCUUGAUUUCUCUUUUGAUCUCCAGAGGUUGUAUCCAGCAGCCUACUGGCAUCUCUACUUGGAAGUCUCAUGGGCACCUUGAGUUCAGUUGGUCCCAAAGUAAACUUGUCUUCUUUCUGCUCAAACAUGCUGCUUGUGUUCCUUAGCACAGUGACUGGCACCAUGUAGAUCCCCAUGCCAGGAACCUGGGUGUCAUCCUACCUUAUGUCCUCUUCCUCACCUCCCAUGUCUCUUCGGUCUUAACCUUCUGUUGAUUUCAGCUUUUAAACAUCUCUUGGCACUAUGCCUGAGGUCUUGGCUGACACUGCCCUUAGCUAGACCCUGGUCAUCUUCUGCCUGAUCCAGUGCCAUCACUUUCUAGCUACAGGACCUCGACAGGGAGUCUGUUCAUAAAGGUCCAAGGAAGUGGGACACUGUGCCCUCCAAAAACUUAGGUUGGACUUGUCAUUGAGUUCUGUGUCCAUAAAAUAGGUCAUUUUCUGUUGUUUUGUGGUUCUUUAUUUUAAGGGUCUGUUGUUUGGUUGUAUUUAAAAAGAGAAUGGUAAUAAUAAUCCCAAAUACAUGUACUUUACUUUCAAAGCUUAUAAAACACUUUCAUACUUAUGAUAUUAUUUGAUUCUUGGACAGCUUGGGGAGAGAGCUAUUGCAAUUAUCUGUAUUUAUCCAUAUGAAAGGAUGUAUGCUUACCUAAGGUGACCUGCUUUGGAAGUAGAAAUCAGACCUAAGGCCCCUGACUCUGUGUUUUGUUUCUUCCUUUCUUUCCUUUUCUUCCCUUCCCUCCCUACCUCCUUUUUUUUCUCUCUCUCUCUUCCUCUCUCACUCUCUUAAGAUUCGUCUUCCCAAAGCAUCUGAGGUUUCAGCUUUCUUUUCCCUUGAACACUAGAAAUCCAUCAGGUAAUAUGUUAUAUGUCUUGCAUUCCCACCACGAAGAUCAGUAUUAAAAAAUGACAGCAACUUAUUAUUUAUGGCAAUAUCUAUUGUUACUAAGGGAGGCAGACCAAACAAUUCCCCAUUGUUACAGAUGCUACUCUGACUUGACAGCUGGGAAAGUCUGAUAGGCAGUUUAUUUACUUAGCCAUUUAACCAAAUAAAUGUUUUCAUUUUUCUUUCAUCUCCUCAAAAGCUAACAUUUCGUCCUCAAAAUUGCUCCAGCAACACAUCAGUGAAGUAUAAAUUACCUGCCAUUCCCAUACCAGUCAUUAUAAUAUUAUUUUGGUUCUUUUUUGCCCUUGUUGACCCAGUCUUUCAAAGACACGUGAUUCUCCCAGAUGGGAGGGUAGGGGGAAAAAAGUGAAGUAAUUGAAGAUACUUUCCUUUAUUGCUAAAACAGCACUGCUGUUUGAGAUUGGCCCUGAAGCUUCCACCUGUGGGGAUUGAGUCCGUCUGUUUCCUCUUACUAUGGUGUGAUAUGGCUUUAGCUUAUCAACAGAUGUCAUCCCUACUUACUCAGAACUGUGCAGGUAUUUCUAAUAAAAAACAGCUGGUGAUAAUGGUUGCAAGGGUGAUAAGAGAGACAGGACUCUUGCUUUCCAACCAUAUGAAAGCAGAGGGGAAAAAAUAAAGCCAUGGACAUAACUUUCCCUGCAUGGUCUCUCUUCUCCAAAUGUUUGGAAAGGCACUAAGAAAUUGCAGUCAGUAAAUUUUCAGUUGGGUGGAUGGGGGAAUGGGAUGGAGAUGGAAAGAUUAAAUGUGUCUUGUGCUGCUGUCGAUGGAGGGACCCAGAAUGGCUCUCCCAGACGUCCCCCAUGUGUGUCAUAGUGGCUAUGUCUGCAAAGCUGGCAUCUGCCCCUUGGCACUUGAAUCUUGAUAACUGUGAAGUGGCCAGGCUAAGCUUUCAAAGGGAGAAAAUUACUUCACCGAAGAUUACAGUCCAGCCCUCCUCUGGAGCUGGGAGGUACUUAUUUUGACUUGCAUGUGAUUCUAAGACAGCCCAUUUUUUGGCAGUGAGCUGUGUGAGGCCCAAACCAGGGCCAUUCUGAUUAUGGGGUGGGGCAAGCCAGAGAGCUAAGCAGCAGGCUUUUUUCUUUUUUUCCCUUCCAAAGCUGUUGUGACACAUAUUGAAAAUUAAUUAUCUGAAGACAAAGUACAAAGCAAAACCUCCCAACCAAUGGUCUUAUACAUGAAAGCUAAAUGUAUAAAAUCCAAGAGAGUGGGGAGCGUGCAUUAAUUGGAUAUAUGUGAUGAUGAUAAUGAUGAUGAUAAUGAUGAUGGUGAUGGUGAUGAUGAGGGUAGCUAGCAUCUAUUAGGUGCUUUCUAUGUGCUAUACACAGUGCUAAGAGCUUCACAUAUAUCACUUUAUUUAGUUCACAUAAUAACCCUAUGAGGUGGACACUAUUUUUAUCCUUAUUUUUCAAAUGAAGAAAAUAAGAUAGAGAAUAAUUAUAAAAUCACAGCAGUGUCACAUAGCCAGGAAGUGGUGGAGCCAGAUGCUGAACUCAAACAAUGUUGUUCCAGAACCUAGAUAUUUUUUUUAAGCUGAAUUUUAAGCUGAUUACUCAGUGUCUGUCUCUGCGCUAGAUACUCAACAUAAACUAUCUCAGUUACCAUUAUGGAGAAUAUAAGCCCCUUC